UCUUCUCAUCUUCUGGCGACAUCCAACUUUCUUUCUUUCUUUUUUACUUUGUCUUCUUUCGGAAUUGAACUGCAGUUGAGGAGUUGGAAUAUGAGGCAACGACGCUUGACGUAGAGCCGGAGAGUAGCAACUUUGAAUUGCUGGUGCGGUGGAAACUGGGUUGCCACUCGACGUCAAGUCCAACGAGGAGAUGGCGGUGGUCGUGGAAAGACGAUUCGGUUUCGGAAAUCCA
rnacentral:lncRNA from 1 species